rnacentral:rRNA from 1 species
AGGCUUAACACAUGCAAGUCGAGGGGCAGCGGGGAGGAAGCUUGCUUUCUCUGCCGGCGACCGGCGCACGGGUGAGUAACGCGUAUCGAACCUGCCUCAUACUCGGGAAUAGCCUUGCGAAAGUAAGAUUAAUGCCCGAUGUUUUCAGUGGUCCGCAUGAACUGCUGAACAAAGAUUUAUCGGUAUGAGAUGGCGAUGCGUCCCAUUAGCUUGUUGGCGGGGUAACAGCCCACCAAGGCAUCGAUGGGUAGGGGUUCUGAGAGGAAGGUCCCCCACAUUGGAACUGAGACACGGUCCAAACUCCUACGGGAGGCAGCAGUGAGGAAUAUUGGUCAAUGGACGCAAGUCUGAACCAGCCAAGUAGCGUGCAGGAUGACGGCCCUCCGGGUUGUAAACUGCUUUUAGUUGGGAAUAAAGUGCAGCUCGUGAGCUGUUUUGUAUGUACCAUCAGAAAAAGGACCGGCUAAUUCCGUGCCAGCAGCCGCGGUAAUACGGAAGGUCCAGGCGUUAUCCGGAUUUAUUGGGUUUAAAGGGAGCGCAGGCGGACUCUUAAGUCAGUUGUGAAAUACGGCGGCUCAACCGUCGAACUGCAGUUGAUACUGGAGUCCUUGAGUGUACACAGGGAUGCUGGAAUUCAUGGUGUAGCGGUGAAAUGCUCAGAUAUCAUGAAGAACUCCGAUCGCGAAGGCAGGUAUCCGGGGUGCAACUGACGCUGAGGCUCGAAAGUGCGGGGAUCAAACAGGAUUAGAUACCCUGGUAGUCCGCACAGUAAACGAUGAAUACUCGCGGUUGGCGAUAUACUGUCAGCCGCCAAGCGAAAGCGUUAAGUAUUCCACCUGGGGAGUACGCCGGCAACGGUGAAACUCAAAGGAAUUGACGGGGGCCCGCACAAGCGGAGGAACAUGUGGUUUAAUUCGAUGAUACGCGAGGAACCUUACCCGGGCUUGAACUGAGGGGGAAUGAGCCAGAGAUGACUCAGUCUUCGGACUCCCUUGGAGGUGCUGCAUGGUUGUCGUCAGCUCGUGCCGUGAGGU